GGGAAGUUGGCUCAGUGGUAGAGUGCUUGCCUCGCAUGCAUGAGGCCUUGGGUUUGAUACCUCAGUCCCA
rnacentral:tRNA from 1 species